CCCUACCUAGCUCAACCGGAUAGAGCGUCAGAGAUCUAAUCUGAAGGUUGCGAGUUCGACCCUCGCGGUAGGUG